rnacentral:lncRNA from 1 species
AGAAUAAGAGACUAGAGAUUGGUGUUUAGAUUCAAGAACAAGACUUAGUUUCAUGAAGGAGAAGGGAAACCCCCUUACUCACUUAAUUCUUUACAAUCGCCAAUGCUUGGCUUAUAUAUGGCUCUACACUUUGCACAAUCAUAAACCUAUAUCCUAAGGCUGAUAUUAACUUGAGUGAUGGACGGCCUGGAUGAGGGGAGACUGGUCUUUGGUCUUGGCAGCUUGUCUUGUAAUUGGUUGAUUCAAACUGAGGCAAAAGGAGACU